GACGAACGCUGGCGGCGUGCUUAACACAUGCAAGUCGAGCGGUAAGGCUCCUUCGGGAGUACACGAGCGGCGAACGGGUGAGUAACACGUGAGCAAUCUGCCCUUCACAUGGGAAUAACUUCGGGAAACCGAAGCUAAUACCGAAUACGACCACCGAUGGCAUCUUCUGGUGGUGGAAAGUUCCGGCGGUGAAGGAUGAGCUCGCGGCCUAUCAGCUUGUUGGUGGGGGUAAUGGCCCACCAAGGCGACGACGGGUAGCCGGCCUGAGAGGGUGACCGGCCACACUGGGACUGAGACACGGCCCAGACUCCUACGGGAGGCAGCAGUGGGGAAUAUUGGACAAUGGGCGAAAGCCUGAUCCAGCAACGCCGCGUGAGGGAUGACGGCCU
rnacentral:rRNA from 1 species